AGAGAGUUAGUAAAUGCUGAUAAAUGUUUCAGAAAUCUCACAUUGAGAGAUGAAACAGAAGGACAGGCCAGGAGCUGAAUCUACCCAGCCUGUUAACUCCAAAUGCAGCACAGGUUCACAUCUGGGGAAAUGGUUCAAAUAGCUUCUCUGCUCUCCUGGCAGGGACCUGCUAUGGGAAACCUGUCUUUACCCUCCUCCCUCUCUCUCAUAGAACUACAGAGUGGUUGGGUUGGAAGGGACCUUAAAGCCCCCCCAGCCCCACCCCCUGCGUAGGGCUGGGUGCCCCCACCAGCUCAGGCUGUCUAGGGCCCAUCCAGCCUGGCCUUGGGUACCUCCAGGAUGAGGCACUCACAGCUCUCCAGGCAGCUGUGCCAGGGCUCACUGCCCUCUCAGAAAAUAAUUUCCUUCUACCACUUAAGCUAAAUCACUAUCUGCCCUGGCCAGAGGAAGUACAGAAAACAGAUGUGAGCAGAGCUGUACAGAAGCUGGUGGUAUACUUUGGCAGCUGCUUUCAUGGGCUAUUUAUGAGCACAUUAUCACCAUCGAGUGUGACUGCUGUCAUAGAAAUGGAGAGCCACUCUGCCUCCCACUGGAGCAGACACGGCUGCAAGCAGGACCCCCUCCCUGGAUCUGCUCAGCAGUGACAGCACGCAGGAGAGAAGCUGCAAAGCCCUCACGCUGCCAGUUGACAAACAUGGAUCUUGCUUGGGUUUUUGAAGGGUGUAAACAGAAAAAAAAAACCAAAAAACAGAGAAAUGUUGCCACACCAGGUUGGACUCUCCAGAGCAUUUGAAAACAUCGCAUGGUCAAUAUUUUUGCUAUUUCUGUCCCAAGUUUCUACCUAAGCCACGGAGGCAUGACAGCUAACUGCAAAAGAAAGUAAAAGUACUGAAGAAAAUCCAUCUUUGUGCCCAUUCUGUCUGUAGUGGAGAAGCAUCCGAGGUGGAUGCCAUAGCCAAGAAACAUUCGCUCACCAACAAAGCAGCCCACUCCAGUACAAAGGCUUUGAUGAAAAACUCAGCAGUUUUUAAAAGCUCUUCAGAAUGGACAGAGUUAUCAGAGCUCUUCUCCAGCUCCAGCACUUACCAGGGCCUAAAAAAAGACACAAUACGUCUCUCUCCAGAGCCCUUCGCAGUACCCCAACCAGCUGCAGGAUUCCAAACCCAGGAGCUGAGUGACAGAGCCAUGAUUCCCCAUCCCAGGGCCCCAGUCCAACAAGAGCACAAGCAGCUCAGCCCCGCACGGCACAUUUGGAGAGCGAGCUCUCCAGAGGAGCUUGGGGCAACUGAAAGACUGAAGGCAUAAGCCAUCUCCCUUUGACGUGUCCAGGAUCUGGCUGGCCGUGCCCAGAACGUGCUAUGCAGCGUGCUGCCAACCCAGCAGCUCCAGAGCCCGCGCUGGGCAGUGCCAAAGGAUCUCAGCUGGGCAGAGGAGGGUGCUCCGUAAAUACGCCGCUACCUGCCCCUAUGCAGCAACGCACACAGAGCUGCGCUGUUGUUGCAGGAUAAACAGGAAAGGCGGUGGCCAGGUGCCUGGCCAGCAGCAAGCCUGGUGAUGUGCUGCUCUGAAUAGCUGGCCUGUGCUGGGGCAGCCUCCUGUGGGGUGGCAAGCUGUAACUGGGGUAACGCAGGGGGAAGUUUUGGGAGAAGCUGUGUGGCACGAAGGGCUGACCAGCACUGAAAUGCUUGUGCCACUUUCUAGCUAGGAACAGAAAACCAGAGAGAAGCAGAGUGAGGUCUGCACAUGAGCUGGCAUCCCUGCCAGGAGGUGUUGUGGGGCAGGGAGGUUUGUGGGGGGAAGCAGCUCCCCUCAUUCCACUAACACUGUUUAUCUGGUAGAGAUGUUAAAAUUAGCAAGUGUGGGACAGGUUGGGCAGGGGAACCCACCCAGGGGCCUUGGAGCACCGCAGGAGUAGAUGGCACCUGAUUAGCGUGUCAGUGAGCACAGCAGCCCAGCUCAGCAAACAAAGGAGAGCCUGGAAAGAGGGAAAGCCCAAAUGGAGCUCACACAAAACCUCCGGCCAUUAGGAGGUGAUGGUGAGAAGAUGGAGAACAAGGCAAGAUGCACAGGAUGGACAAAGAGAUGAAGGACAGCGAGUAAAUCCCGAUUGCUCGGGGGCAGACAGACAAAAGAUCACCAUCACCAUCUGUCACCUCCAUCACCUCCGAAGAGUGAGGGCACAGCCAAAGCCACCAGCCCGCACCUCACGGAACAGCAGGGAAGCACCCUGUGUGCAGUCUGGUGUCAGCAUGUGGAUGCUGAAAAGCACAAGCACCAAUGAGUUUUCCUUCAGUUUUGUUUUAAAAUAAAAAUGCCCCUCCACGGUCCUGCAUUAGGAUGUGCUAUGUUACUGCUUUGAUUCCCAUCGUUUUAUCGUGACUGUGGGCACCAGCUGCAGCCCGCACCCACCCAGCCUGGUGCAGAGCAGCGGGGCAGAGGCCAGCCCUCCAUCUUUGGUGCCCAACAGCUCUGAAAAUCACGGCCUCCAGCCCAGCCGCUGCUGCUCUAUUGCUGAGCAAUGAUGACUUCAGCUAUUUAUCAGCUACUUGCAGAGGUGCAGGUCAGAGCUCGUCACUCUGGCAUCCUCCUGGAGCAGCUCUGCUUCCUGCACCAGAUGCCAGGGAGGCUGCGGCUGCAUUGCCUGGGGCAUCAUCCUCUCCACCUCCUGCAUACAGGAGGGAACCAGGCCCCUCUGCCUCAAGUAGAAAAGGAAGGGGAGGACUCAGAGAGGAUUCUUCACUUUCCCUGGGAUCCUCCGAGGCACGACAGCAGUCACCCUUGGAUCAUAACAAAGCAACAACGGCCAUGCUGCGAGUGAAGGAGCCAGGCCAGCUGCCGGCUUGCUGGGAACCAGCAAUCUCAGAGCACGCUGGGGCAGAGCAGGAGGGUGUGCGGCUCCCAGCAGACAUCGCUGACUGCAGUGACCUCUGUCUGGGAAACAGAGGGGGCAGGAAGAGAGCAGCCUUUGGGGAGGAGAAAUGCAGCUGGCCAAGAUGCCCCUGCAUUGGAUGAGAGUGGGAUCCACUCCCCGCCUGUGGGGCAGGGGAGGCUCCGGGCCUCGCUGACGGACCCCUGCACAUCAGCCCGCGCUCCCACCGGCUCUGGAGCAGACGUGGUAUAAAUAUGCCAGAGUGAAGGAAGCCAGCUCUGCAGGAGACGGGGCUGUUCCUGCUGUGCUCUCCCUGCCCAGGCUGCAGGGCUGGGGCCAAGCGAGGGGCUGUGGAAGGACUGUACUGGGAUGCACGGUGUCCUCUGCACCCUCCUUCCUAACUCAGCCAGAAACAGCAGCUCCCCAAGAGCCGAGACAAAUCUGACACCAAUUCACCACCAUUUCCAAAAUCCCUCUUGCAGCAAGCCCAGGGUGAGAGGUACUAGAGCCACAUGCAGUAGGGAAGGCAGUGGCAGCCUGGCUCAGGGCUGAAGGAAAGCAGAGCACAGGGUACAGCCUGCAGCCACUGCUGCAAGAGGCUCACAGGGUCGCUCAGAAGAGCUGAGCACAAAGAAGGGAAAGGAUCCACCCAAGAUUUUGCAAGGUGCUGUAGGAUCAGGGAUCCCCGGUGCUGGCAGCAUGGGAUGUCACCGCCUGCACUCCCUGCAAUCGGCUGCCCGCAGAGCACACAACCAGCGGCACCUCCCCAAGCGCUAUUUUUGUGCUCUAACUGAAUUCAGUUCCCAUUGAAGUGUAACAACUCACAAACAAUAUAGCAAAAUGCAAAAUUAAUACAAUGUUUUAAAAGUAACCUAGGUGUAUCUCAGCAAUUACAUCCUCUUCCUUAGUAAAGUACCCCAUUAGGUGUAGAAAUCGUCUUUUGUUGCCAGUUAUUAUAUUUUGAUGGUUACCAACCAAGGAUAAUUAAAAAGCCUCUUCAAGGAAAAAGAGCUUAAGUAUGAAUGCAAAUAAACGCAGACAGUGAGAUUUAAAGCCGAGGCUCUUCAUCUCAUCGAGAAACAGAGCUGGAAUAGCUGCUGAUUAGACAGCAGCCAGCCCUGACCUUUCUGCUGUAAUGCAGAGCUCAGAAUUAAAGAACCUGGACGGCAGAGGUUUCAGGUAGGGUGGUGGGGAUGCCACAGAGCAAACCCCCAACUACUUUGGGAUCCUGGUCCCAGCCCAGUACCUCAUGGGACCUUGAUGGAGGUGGGAUGACACGAGGUUGUGUUUGUGGCACGCUGCAGCACUACCAGGGCUGAUGCCAGGACUGCCCCCAUGUCCAUCCUGGCAGACAGAAGCUGAACAGGCUCUAUCUGCUGCCAGUGGUCCAGGUUUGAGCAGCGAACCAGGGGGAGCUGAAGCACAGGUGUCAAGUGCCCAGCACGGCUCUGGGAACCCGCCAGGCCAGGCAUGCAGCGAAGGGCAGUGGUAAGAGACAGGAAUAGAAAGGUCUCCUGACCCAGAAGCUCCUUCCAGCACAACAGGGCAGGUGGCCUCGAGCUGAGCACGGGAUGGGGCUCUGAUUAGAUAUGGGGCGCUGAGCGAGCGUGGCGCCAGCAAAAGACAACCCAGUGCCCAGCCUGCCCGGGCAGGCAGCAGGAAACCUCCCCAGGGUGGUGCAGAUGCCGGGCCUCAGGUGUGAGCCCCCGGGGAGCAAAAGGGGGGGGUGCAGGACAGCUCCAAUGCCACCACCUUGUUUGGUGGCACUGCGUUUGGGAUGGGCGGCAGAGCGAGAGUUGUUAGCAGAAAGGAGCAGCCCUGGAAGCAGUGCUGUGAAUGCCAAGCAUGGGCUCUUCCUUACCAGGAGAAGCCAAAGAAUAGCACAGACAUGCCUGGGGCAGGCGGCGGUGCUGGGAGGUGUCAGGGACGUGUGGUAGCGCCCAUCUGCAGGACCCAGCAGCCUGGGGGUGCACACACCGUGCCAGGAUGGGGAGAAAUGCAUGAAGCCGUGCUACAGGUCUACAUGGAGCUCCUUCCCUGCUCCCCCACUAAGAGAGGGGGGCUUACCCCAGGUUCCCCAGACAGGGCAGUGCAGGCUGUCUGCAUGGCCACCACCACCUCCCCAGGCAAUUGUUUUCCGCUGGCCGCAUGCAGCUGCACAGCACCCUGCCUGGCAGGGAGGUGCCCACGCUCCCAUGCUGUUUGCUUUGUGCCUCGGUUGAGGAUUGAGCUGUGAUGAAGACACCUCUGCCCAGAGACUGCCCGGAGAUUUGGGGGCACAUGUGACUCUUAGAGCCCCGUCUGGGUCUGCGUGUAACCCCAACAAUCACCACAGCAGUAGGAGAUCUGGCAUCAGCCAGCCCCAGCCAUGAUUACCUCAGGAGCCACAGCUGCAGGGGAGGAAGCGCUCAUGUCAUUAGGGGAAAAUUAAUUAGCCAGUUGCCUUAACAGCAGCCCUAUGUCAGCAGGGAACCCAGGCAGUGUGGCAUGAGCUGGGGGAGCCUGGACACCAGGAAUUCUACCCUGUCCCAGGACCUUCCUAGCCAUGGGGCACCAACUGCGUCUGUCCUUUGGGUCUGCCUCUCUGCCCAUAGCAUGGAGAAUUGGGACCAGAGGAGGCUGAUGGUGCUGGAGGAAGUGGAUUUCCGCAGGCAGCGAAGAAAGGCUGCAUUGAGAGCUGGGUGGGCAGAGAGCGGGGGAUGCAGCAGUGUCCGGCCAACGAGGACCAGCACCAGCAGCCGAGAAGCCGAGCACGCCUGCUUCCCGCCGAGCCCCACGCUUUGUCACUGCCCCGCUCACCGGGACUGCCGACGGUGCCCCCCCACCCUCCCCACCCCCAGCUCGGGGUGCGUUCCCACCGCGUGGCCGCCGGCACGGGCCCACGUGGAGCCGCGGAGCUCCGGCCCGGGAGCGGCCGCCGGGACGCGGGGCUGUGGGGCUGCCGCUUUGUCCCGCCGCUUUGUCCCGCAGCAUCCCCGGAUCGCGCGGGGCUCUGCCCAACUUUCGGGGCCCGCGGCUCCCAUCCCGGGGUAAGGGCUGCUCCAGCUCCGGCGCUGCGAGAGCGGUGGGACCCCCCCACCCA